AACGAACGCUGGCGGCAGGCUUAACACAUGCAAGUCGAACGGGCGUAGCAAUACGUCAGUGGCGGACGGGUGAGUAACACGUGGGAAUAUGCCUUUCGGUUCGGAACAACUCGGGGAAACCCGUGCUAAUUCCGGAUACGCCCUUACCGGGGAAAGGAUUUAUCGCCGAAAGAUUAGCCCGCGUUGGAUUAGCUAGUUGGUGAGGUAAAGGCUCACCAAGGCGACGAUCCAUAGCUGGUUUGAGAGAACGACCAGCCACACUGGGACUGAGACACGGCCCAGACUCCUACGGGGAGGCAGCAGUGGGGAAUCUUGGACAAUGGAGGAAACUCUGAUCCAGCCAUGCCGCGUGAGUGAUGAAGG
rnacentral:rRNA from 1 species